GUUGGAAGGUUUUUGCAGGGAGGGAAUACUGGAGGAAGCAAAGACUUUAUUUGAGUCUAUGGAAAGAGAUGGUCUUUUUCCAAAUGUGGAGAGCUAUAAUAUAUGGCUAUUGGCUUUUGGUGAAAAAAUGGGAAGGAAAAAACUUCAUUCAAUCGCGAUGAAUUACAUGCCUUGAGUAUAAAUAGACUGCCAACUAACUAUCUAACCAUACAACUAAUACGAAGAUUACACGAGGCUAACCCUCACUAACUAACUGAAGUCCUUAACUAAUUUGUUUACAGCCCGAUGAGCUGACCUAGGCUAGGGAUUUCUUCUGUUACUUUUGGAGGUUCAAACUAUCCUUGAAGAGAUGAUUUACCAUGGUUUGGAGCCAAAUUAAUGCUCAUAAAAAACUUUGAUUGCUGGGCUCUACAAGAAUGAUAUGCUUGCUGAUGCUAGAGCAGUUGUAGGUUUGAUGAUUAUGAGCAAAAUUUCCCUAGAUGCAGUCACUUAUAGCACUCUGCUUCAUGUACCUAGCAGAAAAGGAAACGUAAUUGAGGCCAAUAAAAUUCUAAAUGAUAUGAUAAGGGCAGGACAUGUUCCAAAUACUUACAUUUUCAAUAUACACUGCACAGUAUGUGGACAGAAGAUAAAGCUUCUGAAGCUGAGAAGUUACUGCAAAAGAUUAAUGAAAAAGGGCAUGGAUUGGAUCCUGUGAGCUGUAAUAUUGUGAUUGAUGAUCUGUGUAGAAGUGGGAAGGUUGACAAAGCAGUUGAAAUUGUGAGUGAGAUGUGGACUCAUGGAAGUGCUGCUCUAGGCAACUUGGGAAUUUUAUUUAUAGGUCUAGUGGACAACAACGGAGAAAAAUGCUUACCUGACUUGAUCACUUAUUCAACAAGGAAGGAAGAUAUAUUUAUAUAUAUCUCGUGUAAGUGGGGGAAGAUAUCAUCUGCAUUUAGGUUCUCAAAGAUAUGGAGAGGAAAGGUUGCAAAAAGAGUUUACAAACUUAUAAUUCAUUGAUCCUUGGUCUAGGAAGUAAGAAGCAAAUAUUUGAAAUGUUUAGCAUGCUGAAUGAGAUGAAAGAAACAGGUGUUUCUCCUGAUACUUCACUUACAAUGAUGUUUUUCACUGUCUGUGUGAAGGAGGAAGAAGUGAAAAAGCUACUUCUCUUUUAGAUGAGAUGUUGCAAAAAGGGAUGACACCCAACAUAUAUUCCUUUAAGUUGUUAAUAAAAACUUUCUGCAGGACAGGUCAGUUCAGACAGGCACAGGAGGCAUUUAACAUUGACCUUAGUAAAUAUGGCCACGAAGAAGUACUUUAUAGUCUAAUUUCAAUGAAUUUCUUGCAGGGGAGGAGAUCUUGGAAGCUAAUCGGUUAUUUGAAUCUUCAUUAGACAAAUGUUUUGAUUUGGGAAGCUUUCGUUACAGAGAUAUCACAAAUAGACUACGUCAAGGCGAAAAUGGAGAAUACUGAAAUCCUCAAAAAAAUGAUAGAGAAUGGAUUGAAGUUUGACCCUGUAACAUUUAUGCCUGUGAUUGAUUGUUUACCUGAAAGCAGAAAUAAGCAUGAGGUUGAUGAACUAAAAGAGAGGAUGCUGUCAAUGGCUUUAGAAAGUGAGAUGGAAGAUAAGAUUAAGCAGCAAUGCAGGGAGUCAAAGAAUGGGGAAAAAUAACAAUGGUGGAAGUGAGUGGCAAACCAUUAUGCAAAGGUAUGUUACUGAAAUGGAUCGUGACUUGUUUUCUGAUCUGAUAUUAAAAUAAAAUUUAGCCAUUUUAAUUAAUUUCUAAGUGUUAUGCCCUAAGUCCAAUCAACUUUGGACAUAAAUACUUUUAAUAUAUGGUUGAUGCAAUUUCAUGGUAGAUUUAUUAUUUAAUUAAUGUUUAAUUAAAUUAAAUAAUAAAGUUCAUAGAUUUAAAUUUUGGUAAUUUGUUAAUUACGAGGAGUUGUGAUUUUAAGAUGCAAAUUACAUAUGAUUGAAUCUUAAAUAGUCUAUGGUCGUAAAUACUAACGAGAUACGAAUAUCGUUAUUAGAGAUAAAC
rnacentral:lncRNA from 1 species